rnacentral:rRNA from 1 species
GACGUAGGGCGCGAGCGUUAUCCGGAAUCAUUGGGCGUAAAGCGUGCCGAUAGGUGGUUUUGAAAGUCUUGGGUAAAAGCCAGAAGCUUAACUUCUGAGUUUGCUUAAGAUACUGCAAAACUAGAGGGGCAAAGAGGUGCUUGGAACGAACGGUGUAGUAGUGAAAUGCGUUGAUAUCGUUCGGAACACCGAAAGCGAAGGCAGAGCACUGGGUGCCACCUGACACUGCUAGGACGAAAGCGUGGGGAGCGAAUGGG